rnacentral:rRNA from 1 species
CAGCCGCCGCGGUAAUACCGGCGGCCCGAGUGGCGGUCACUAUUAUUGGGCUUAAAGCGUCCGUAGCCGGGUUGGGAAGUCCUCCGGGAAAUCUGGCCGCUUAACGGUCAGAAUGCCGGAGGAUACUCCCAGCCUAGGGAGCGGGAGAGGCCGAGGGUAUUCCCGGAGUAGGGGGGAAAUCCUAUAAUCCCGGGGGGACCACCUGUGGCGAAGGCGCUCGGCUGGAACGCGUCCGACGGUGAGGGACGAAGGCCAGGGGAGCAAACCGGAUUAGAUACCCGGGUAGUCCUGGCUGUAAACGAUGCGGACUUUGUGUCGGACAAGCUAUGAGCUUGUCCGGUGCCGGAGGGAAACCGUUAAGUCCGCCGCCUGGGGAGUACGGCCGCAAGGCUGAAACUUAAAGGAAUUGGCGGG